AUAAAAAGAUUGAAUUGAAGGAUGCCAUUUUGCAAGCUCGAAACAAGAAGAACCUAAGUCAAGCUCAACUUGCUAAAAAUAUAAAAGUGAAGCCACAAAUCAUUCAGGAAUAUGAGUCUGGAAAGGCAAUUCCAAGCCAGGAUAUGAUAGAUCUCUAAACUGGAGAAAGCCCUUGGAGAGAAUCUUAAAGAUGCAUACAAAGCUAAAUUGAAGGAGGUUAUCGCUCAAGCUCGAACAAACAAGUUUGUGGCUCAGGCUCAACUCGCUCAAAAGAUGAAAGUGAAGAUGCACAUCAUUCAGGAUUAUGAGAAUGGAAAGACAAUUCCAAACAAAAAGAUGAUCUCUCAACUAGAGAAACUCUUGGAGUGAAACUUCAUCAAUGAAAUUAAUUUUCUCUUUAAAGCUUUUCUUUAAUAA